rnacentral:lncRNA from 1 species
UCCCACUAGUCUGAGAAGGUGGUGCUCCUCCCAAUGAAGUAGUAUUUAUAGAAGAAUUGUGUCCCAACGUCAGACUAAGAGCAGAAAAAAUAACAGAACCAGCUACCACAGUUGCAUCUUGCCCAACUUUAACAUUGCCAGACAAAUUGAAACUUAUAAUGCAGCCUUCUAUUUUUAACAUUGCCAGACAAAUUAAAACUUAUAAUGCAGCCUUCUAUCGGACAGUAAAUAGAAACCUGGGGAAGUAUCUCCAAGUUUCCAGUACCUAACACAUACAAGUCAGAAUUUAUGU